GACUGUAAAUGAUGAUUUUGUUUAAAAACAAUGGGAAUCUCUCUGAAAAGAAUGAAAGAUUUUUUUUUUCCUGAUACAGUG
ensembl:snoRNA SNORD79 Small nucleolar RNA SNORD79